GAGAGCCGUAUACACUGAGAGGUGUACGUACGGUUCGGAGGAGGAUUCUCGGAAACCUACCAUAGCAAUAUGGCAAGGCGCUGGGUUUCUAUCCUAC
rnacentral:ncRNA from 1 species